rnacentral:misc_RNA from 1 species
UCCGAGUUGACCCCGGCAGUCUUCGAUGAGUCCCCGCCAUAACGCGCUGGCAACAUCGAACGAGGGUUGCGCUCGUUGCGGGACUUAACCCAACAUCUCACGACACGAGCUGACGACAGCCAUGCAGCAUCUGUGAUGGUCAGGCCGAACCGACCCUGCGUUUCCGCAGGUGCGACCACCAUGUCAAGCCCAGGUAAGGUUCUUCGCGUUGCUUCGAAUUAAAGAACAUGCUCCGCUGCUUGUGCGGGCCCCCGUCAAUUCUUUUGAGUUUUAGCCUUGCGGCCGUACUCCCCAGGCGGAACACUUAACGCGUUGGCUGCGGCACCCAGGGGGUCAAUACCCCGGACACCUAGUGCCCAUCGUUUACAGCGUGGACUAC